rnacentral:rRNA from 1 species
UGAAAUAGAACCUGAAACCGUGUGCCUACAACCGCUCAGAGCCCCUUAUGAGGGUGAUGAGGUGCUUUUUGUAGAACGAGCCAACGAGUUACGGUAUGUAGCAAGGUUAAGUACUUAAGGUACGGAGCCGAAGGGAAACCGAGUCUGAAUAGGGCGACUAGUUGCAUGCCGUAGACCCGAAACCGGGUGACCUAUCCAUGGCCAGGUUGAAGCGAGGGUAAAACCUCGUGGAGGACCGAACCACGUUGCUGUUGAAAAAGCAUGGGAUGAGCUGUGGAUAGCGGAGAAAUUCCAAUCGAACCCGGAGAUAGCUGGUUCUCUCCGAAAUAGCUUUAGGGCUAGCGUCGAGUAUGAGUAGUGGAGGUAGAGCACUGAAUGGGCUAGGGGGCAUAGCGCUUACCGAACCUUAUCAAACUCCGAAUGCCACAUACUUUGAGCUCGGCAGUCAGACUACGAAUGAUAAGAUCCGUGGUCAAAAGGGAAACAGCCCAGAUCGUCAGCUAAGGUCCCAAAGUGUAAGUUAAGUGGGAAAGGAUGUGAGAUUUCUAAGACAACUAGGAUGUUGGCUUAGAAGCAGCCAUUCAUUAAAAGAGUGCGUAAUAGCUCACUAGUCGAGAGAUCUUGCGCCGAAAAUGUAACGGGGCUAAACUUACC